GACGAACGCUGGCGGCGUGCUUAACACAUGCAAGUCGAGCGGUAAGGCCCUUUCGGGGGUACACGAGCGGCGAACGGGUGAGUAACACGUGGGUGACCUGCCCUCAGCUCUGGGAUAAGCCUGGGAAACUGGGUCUAAUACUGGAUAUGACUCCACGGUGCAUGUCGGUGGGGUGGAAAGCCUUGUGCGGCUGAGGAUGGGCCCGCGGCCUAUCAGCUUGUUGGUGGGGUGANGGCCUACCAAGGCGACGACGGGUAGCCGGCCUGAGAGGGCGACCGGCCACACUGGGACUGAGACACGGCCCAGACUCCUACGGGAGGCAGCAGUGGGGAAUCUUGCGCAAUGGGCGAAAGCCUGACGCAGCGACGCCGCGUGAGGGAUGACGGCCUC
rnacentral:rRNA from 1 species